rnacentral:misc_RNA from 1 species
AACGCACAUUGCGCCCGCCAGUAUUCUGGCGGGCAUGCCUGUCCGAGCGUCAUUUCAACCCUCGAACCCCCCCGGGGGUCCGGCGUUGGGGAUCGGGAAGCAAGCCCCUAAGACGGGCGUCCCGGCCCCGAAAUACAGUGGCGGUCUCGCCGCGGCCUUCCCCUGCGCAGUAGUUUGCACAACUCGCACCGGGAGCGCGGCGCGUCCACGUCCGUAAAACACCCAACUUUCUGAAAUGUUGACCUCGGAUCAGGUAGGAAUACCCGCUGAACUUAA